GAUGAACGCUGGCGGCGUGCUUAACACAUGCAAGUCGAACGGGAAGUCUUUUAUUGAAACUUCGGUCGAUUUAAUUUAAUUCUAGUGGCGGACGGGGGAGUAACGCGUGGGUAACCUGCCUUAUACAGGGGGAUAACAGUCAGAAAUGGCAGCUAAUACCGCAUCAGCGCACAGAGCUGCAUGGCUCAGUGUGAAAAACUCCGUUGGUAUAAGAUGGACCCGCGUUGGAUUUGCUUGUUGGCAGGGUAACGGCCUACCAAGGCGACGAUCCAUAGCCGGCCUGAGAGGCUGACCGGCCACAUUUGGACUGCGGCACGGCCCAGACUCCUACGGGAGGCAGCAGUGGGGAAUAUUGCACAAUGGGGGAAGCCCUGAUGCAGCGACGCCGCGUGAAGGAAGAAGUAUCUCGGUAUGUAAACUUCUAUCAGCAGGGAAGAUAGUGACGGUACCUGACUAAGAAGCCCCGGCUAACUACGUG
rnacentral:rRNA from 1 species